AUCACAAUUAAUUCCUGCAGAGAUGAUUAUAGUUACACUGAGAGGAUUAUGAUUUCAGGAAAGUGAUAAACAGCAGGGACAGAAUAAGGUCCUUUUUUUUUUGUUGUUUCCCAAGGAUUAUUAGCUUGAAAGUUAAUAUCAUAUAUGGGCUGUGGCUUAUUGUCCUAUGAGAAAUAGAAGAACCAGCAAUAGAAGAGACCCAGAUCAAGUUUGACUGAAAGGCAAACACCAUUCCCAACUGGCUUUACCAUCUGUCUUUCCACAGAGACAACUCACAGGCUAUAAAGUGCUUAACAUUUCCCUGGCUUCAGAAGGCACUAGGGAAGGAGGUAAGUAUGGACCAAUUAGCAGGUGGGCACUUCAAGUGUACUUCUAGUUAUUUAUAUGAAUUGUGAAGGUCUUUAAUAUCCUCUUUGAACUUUUGACUCAGAAAACAAGAUUUGUCUACUUGUAUCUAGUUUAAACCAAU
rnacentral:lncRNA from 1 species